UAGGGAAUCUUCGGCAAUGGACGAAAGUCUGACCGAGCAACGCCGCGUGAGUGAAGAAGGUUUUCGGAUCGUAAAACUCUGUUGUUAGAGAAGAACAAGGACGUUAGUAACUGAACGUCCCCUGACGGUAUCUAACCAGAAAGCCACGGCUAACUACGUGCCAGCAGCCGCGGUAAUACGUAGGUGGCAAGCGUUGUCCGGAUUUAUUGGGCGUAAAGCGAGCGCAGGCGGUUUCUUAAGUCUGAUGUGAAAGCCCCCGGCUCAACCGGGGAGGGUCAUUGGAAACUGGGAGACUUGGGUGCAGAAGAGGAGAGUGGAAUUCCAUGUGUAGCGGUGAAAUGCGUAGAUAUAUGGAGGAACACCAGUGGCGAAGGCGGCUCUCUGGUCUGUAACUGACGCUGAGGCUCGAAAGCGUGGGGAGCAAACAGG
rnacentral:rRNA from 3 species